rnacentral:tRNA from 1 species
GCUUAGUUGGUGAAAGUGCCUGUCUAGUAAAUGGGAGAUCCUGGGUUCAAAUCCCAG